UGAGUACGAGAUGCUACGGCAUCGAAGCAGUCUAUGUCAUACUUCCAAGAAAAGCUUGCACUGUCAGAAACAGAUAAUGCCUGUACCAUAACCGACACAGGUGGGUAGGUAGAGUAUACUAAGGGGCGCGAGAUAACUCUCUCUGAGGAACUCGGCACAAUGACUCCGUAACUUCGGGAGAAGGAGUGCCUUAUUUUUAAGGUUGCAAUAACAAGAUCCAAGCAACUGUUUACCAAAAACACAGGUCUCCGCUAAGUCGUAAGACGAUGUAUGGGGGCUGACGCCUGCCCAGUGCCAGAAGGUUAAAGAAGUCGGUUAGCAUUCGCGAAGCUGGUAACUGAAGCCCUGGUGAACGGCGGCCGUAACUAUAACGGUCCUAAGGUAGCGAAAUUCCUUGUCGGGUAAGUUCCGACCCGCACGAAAGGCGUAAUGAUUUGGAUACUGUCUCGGAGAGGGGCUCGGUGAAAUAGACUUGUCUGUGAAGAUGCGGACUACCUGCACCUGGACAGAAAGACCCUAUGAAGCUUUACUGUAACUUGAAAUUGAAAUUGGACUUUAUUUGCGCAGUAUAGGUGGGAGGCGUUGAAAAUAUUCUUGCGGGAAUAUUGGAGCCAUCAGUGAGAUACCACUCUUGUAAUGUUAGAUUUCUAACUUUAUAUCAUUAUCUGGUUAAAGAACAGUUUCAGGCGGGCAGUUUGACUGGGGCGGUCGCCUCCCAAAUGGUAACGGAGGCGCACAAAGGUUUCCUCUGAACGGGUAGAAAUCGUAUCUAGAGUGUAAAGGCAUAAGGAAGCUUGACUGUGAGACCUACAAGUCGAGCAGGGACGAAAGUCGGUCUUAGUGAUCUGACGGUGCUGAGUGGAAAGGCCGUCACUCAACGGAUAAAAGUUACUCUAAGGAUAACAGGCUGAUCUCCCCCAAGAGUUCACAUCGACGGGGAGGUUUGGCACCUCGAUGUCGGCUCAUCGCAUCCUGGGGCGGUAGUACGUCCCAAGGGUUGGGCUGUUCGCCCAUGAAAGCGGUACGCGAGCUGGGUUCAGAACGUCGUGAGACAGUUCGGUCCAUAUCCGGUGUAGGCGUUAGAAUAUUGAGAGGAGCCUUCUUUAGUACGAGAGGACCGAGAAGGACAUACCUCUGGUGUACCAGUUAUCGUGCCAACGGUAAACGCUGGGUAGCUAUGUAUGGAGUGGAUAACCGCUGAAAGCAUCUAAGUGGGAAGCCCACCUCAAGAUAAG
rnacentral:rRNA from 1 species